GCAGCACCCAGUAUGGUCCCCUGCGUGGCCCUUGCAUCAGCUCCAGCUGCCAUGUUCCUGCCCUGCUUGAGUUCUUGCCUGUGGUUCGUGAACUUUUAUAUGUAACUGAGGCAAAGAACCAAGAAACCUUAGGAACUCUGGAAGACCAUGAGAGGACACGUCUGUCUCCACACCUUCCCAAGUCCAGAAUCUCUGUGGAAAGUGAAGGUAAUAGAAGCAGUCCUUCUGUACUGACAGACAGACAUCCUCAGCAUGAGGAAAAGCUACGAGACCACAGGCAAAUACGUCAAGGUUUGCUCUCUGGAGAUUUUCAGCGCAUCCUGUCC
rnacentral:lncRNA from 1 species